UACAGAGGGUGCAAGCGUUGUCCGGAAUCACUGGGCGUAAAGGGUGCGUAGGCGGCGCGGUAAGUCGGGUGUGAAAUCUCGGAGCUUAACUCCGAAACUGCAUUCGAUACUGCCGUGCUUGAGGACUGGAGAGGAGACUGGAAUUUACGGUGUAGCGGUGAAAUGCGUAGAUAUCGUAAGGAAGACCAGUGGCGAAGGCGGGUCUCUGGACAGUUCCUGACGCUGAGGCACGAAGGUCAGGGGAGCAAACGGG
rnacentral:rRNA from 1 species